GAAAGCGUGGGGAGCAAACAGGAUAGAUACCCUGGUAGUCCACGCCGUAAACGAUGAGUGCUAAGUGUUAGAGGGUUUCCGCCCUUUAGUGCUGAAGUUAACGCAUUAAGCACUCCGCCUGGGGAGUACGGCCGCAAGGCUGAAACUCAAAGGAAUUGACGGGGGCCCGCACAAGCGGUGGAGCAUGUGGUUUAAUUCGAAGCAACGCGAAGAACCUUACCAGGUCUUGACAUCCUCUGAAAACCCUAGAGAUAGGGCUUCUCCUUCGGGAGCAGAGUGACAGGUGGUGCAUGGUUGUCGUCAGCUCGUGUCGUGAGAUGUUGGGUUAAGUCCCGCAACGAGCGCAACCCUUGAUCUUAGUUGCCAUCAUUAAGUUGGGCACUCUAAGGUGACUGCCGGUGACAAACCGGAGGAAGGUGGGGAUGACGUCAAAUCAUCAUGCCCCUUAUGACCUGGGCUACACACGUGCUACAAUGGACGGUACAAAGAGCUGCAAGACCGCGAGGUGGAGCUAAUCUCAUAAAACCGUUCUCAGUUCGGAUUGUAGGCUGCAACUCGCCUACAUGAAGCUGGAAUCGCUAGUAAUCGCGGAUCAGCAUGC
rnacentral:rRNA from 1 species